rnacentral:rRNA from 1 species
AUUGAACGCUGGCGGCAUGCCUUACACAUGCAAGUCGAACGGCAGCGGGCCUUCGGGUGCCGGCGAGUGGCGAACGGGUGAGUAAUGCAUCGGAACGUGCCAUUGAGUGGGGGAUAACGUAGCGAAAGUUACGCUAAUACCGCAUAUUCUGUGAGCAGGAAAGCAGGGGACCGCAAGGCCUUGCGCUCUUCGAGCGGCCGAUGUCAGAUUAGCUAGUUGGUGAGGUAAAGGCUUACCAAGGCGACGAUCUGUAGCGGGUCUGAGAGGAUGAUCCGCCACACUGGAACUGAGACACGGUCCAGACUCCUGCGGAGGCAGCAGUGGGGAAUUUUGGACAAUGGGCGCAAGCCUGAUCCAGCCAUGCCGCGUGAGUGAAGAAGGCC